rnacentral:rRNA from 1 species
UGGGGAAUAUUGGACAAUGGGCGAAAGCCUGAUCCAGCAAUACCGCGUGAAUGAUGAAGGUCUUCGGAUUGUAAAGUUCUUUUAGCAGGGAAGAUAAUGACGGUACCUGCAGAAAAAGCACCGGCAAACUUCGUGCCAGCAGCCGCGGUAAUACGAAGGGUGCUAGCGUUGUUCGGAAUUACUGGGCGUAAAGCGUACGUAGGCGGUUUGGUAAGUCGAUUGUGAAAGCCCGGGGCUCAACCCCGUGAACUGCAACCGAAACUGCCUUGCUAGAGUUUGGUGGGGGAUGAUGGAAUUCCUAGUGUAGGAGUGAAAUCCGUAGAGAUUAGGAGGAACACCGGUGGCGAAAGCGAUCAUCUACGCCAAUACUGACGCUAAGGUACGAAAGCGUGGGGAGCAA